rnacentral:lncRNA from 1 species
UGGGCUGUGAAAUUGUGAAUAACAAACGGAACCAUUAUUUGAAAGGUUUCAAAUUCUGAUGAACAGAAAGAUUAUUUUGGAAAAUCUAUAGCGGAGAGUAGUAUAAUUAUAACUUAGAUUUGCGUGGUGCUCAAUCCAAACUCAUCUCCAAACUGAACGUGGUUUUCUAACAAUAACAUUCCUCCAAAAAAGGGGGCAGCCUACAAACCAACAUAAGCGUAAGAUGCACUUCCUGUCCAGCUAAAAAUAAACCUGCAGACAUUUGAAAGCAGCAUAGAAUCCUUUCUAACAAUAAAAACAAACUCACCCAUGUCGUUGGGCCAAGGCUUUGACAUUUUAAAAAUCAUUAUGGUGACAAAUAAACGCAACCUAUAACAUGAGGUAUUGUUAGAAAUCCUUGAGAAAAAUGCCUCAAAUAGAGAACUCGAACGUCCACUUGCUAAAAAUGAAACCGUUUUACUUAGGCAUUGUCAAAGGUCGAAUGGUUUUCUCCAAAAAUGAUGUUGAAGUCCUAACCCCCAGGACCUCAGAAUGUCACCUUAUUUGGAAAUAGGGUCCUUGCAGAUGUAAUUAAUUAGAACGAGGUCACAUUGGAAUGGGGUGGGCCCCGCAUCCAAUAAAACCACUGUCCUUAUAAAAAAGAGGCACGCCACGUGAAGACCGAGACACACAAGAAGAACACGGGGUGUGGCUGAAGGCGGAGGUUGUGACGACGCAUGUACAAGCCUGCAGGAGCAUCCGCGAGCACCGCUGGCCCCACCGGAAACCGGGAAGAGGCAGGACAGCUUCUACCCCGAGCCUCAGAGACAGUCUGGCCUUGACAUCACCUUGAUCGUAGAAUUCCAGCCUCCAGAAUGCUCUGUGGAUCCUGCUGCCCCCAGCGCAGCAGCCCGGGUGUGGUGGGAAUGUCCGGCACUGCGUCGCUGCCAGCCCUCUGGGCGUUCCGAGUUCCUGGCAGGAUCCGGACGCAGUGUGGUUGACCUUAACUACCCAGGAGAGGGUGAGCUCUCCUACAGAAGACUUGGACAUCUUCUCUGCCUUCUCAUUUCUGUGUCCACAAAAAAUCAGCACAAUGGACGCUGGAUCCUGCUCUCCCUUCCUUCUCUUUCCCACCAACGCACACUUUGGCAGUCCUGGCACCAGCAUGGGAUGCACCCCACACACACCCACAUGCACCCCACACUCACCUCCAGGGAAGAAGCAUAUCAGUGAGAGCAAUGGCUCUGUCCUCAACUCAGUAGGAGCCAGCACCCACCCCUCCCCUCUGUUGCCACUUCAAAAGGUUUUCUUUGUUCGCUUGUUUCUACUUACCAUUAAUGUUGUUCAGGCUGGAUAAGCUUAAGGUGUGUCCCUUGACAUAUUAGAUCUAUUUUACUCUGCCAUUUUAUAAUUAAACAGGGUCUGAC